UACAUGGGGUGCAAACGUUGCUCGGAAUUAUUGGGCGUAAAGCGCGUGUAGGCGGCUUGGCAAGUCGGGUGUGAAAGCCCUCAGCUCAACUGAGGAAGUGCGCCCGAAACUGCUUUGCUUGAGUGCCGGAGAGGGUGGCGGAAUUCCCCCAAGUAGAGGUGAAAUUCGUAGAUAUGGGGGAGGAACACCGGUGGCGAAGGCGGCCACCUGGACGGCAACUGACGCUGAGACGCGAAAGCGUGGGGAGCAAACAGG
rnacentral:rRNA from 1 species